UACGGAGGGGGUUAGCGUUGUUCGGAAUUACUGGGCGUAAAGGGUGCGUAGGCGGUUCGUUAAGUCUGUCGUGAAAUCCCCGGGCUCAACCUGGGAACGGCGAUGGAUACUGGCGAGCUAGAGUGUGUCAGAGGAUGGUGGAAUUCCCGGUGUAGCGGUGAAAUGCGUAGAGAUCGGGAGGAACAUCAGUGGCGAAGGCGGCGCUCUGGGCCGGUACUGACACUGAGGAGCGAAAGCGUGGGUAGCAAACAGG
rnacentral:rRNA from 1 species